CUUUUUAUUAUCAGUAGGGUAAAUGCGAUUCAUCAUAACAAUCUGAUUAUAUUUUUUCUAAAGAAAUAUAGCGUGCUCUUAGGUCCUGAUUAAAGCUAUUUAAAAAAGGAAUUUCUGUUUAAAGAUUAAAGAGUAAAAGUUUAAGAUAAAACCAUGCUUCUGCAGACUUGUAUGUGAGUUGCCAAAGUCUAUGGAAGGUACCAAGCCCAUUAAACAGAUCUAUAGAAUACAAAACGCAAAACAGAGUCAAGCUUUUCUGUAGCUAAAUCUGCCAGUCUAAAAAUAGGGACAUUCGUGCAUGACCUGAUAUUGCCACGAGCACAAGGGACACUUGCAGAAUGAAAUUGAAAGAGGAAAAGCUAUUUGGAGUAAUGGCACUUCAAUAUAUUGGUAUGGAGCAAAUGACUAUCACAAGAGAGAUUUUUUUUCUCUGACUCCUGAAAAAAAAUGAGAAAUAGAAUAUUGAGUUUUUAAAUUCUUACCUAAAUCUCCUAGGACUUAUUUAUAGUGGCAAUUACACUCAGUGUGAGCUGUGCUAUUAAUAUGUAUGUCUGAUAUAAAAUUAACAUUUGCAUGUAUUUCAUGUUUUUAUUAUUAGCAAACAUCAGGUGUUGAUUACUAAAACAUGUAUAUCGGAAUGGGGCAACUAAUCAUUAAUGGAGUGUAAAUAUCUCGACAAGAAUCUCCAAAAUGUAGAUCAACAACUAUUAUAAAACAACUCCAAUGAUGCUUUGUCAGUCUUAACAAUGGAUUUUUUUAAAAUUAAACAAAAAAUUACCCGUCUCUACAUUGGCAUGUGAUGAAUACAUAUAAAAUGUCAAACAAUUUAUUUUCAAGGAGAAUAACACAAAUAUGUAUUAUAAUAACUGUUAACCAUGUAGUGAUUUGGGGCAUAAAAAAAAAAAAAGGCAAAGUCUAGACUGCCAAUGGAAUUAACACAUGUAAAAUAUUAUGUAAUACACUCCAGUAAAAAAAACGGCUCCUUCCAAGCAGACGAAAUUCACGGAUCCAGUCCGGGGCACGAAAAAGGACAAGAGCCCCCGCACUCUCCAUUCUACACGGAUGAGGUGGUCACGGAGAAGUGCCUAGACAGAAUGCUGCAAAGAAUGCAGGCUACCAUCUCUGCAGACCGUAAGAUGCUCCGAGUCUGCUAGUUAGAAAGGAUAUAUCUGAACUUUGGGACCGCACAAGUCAUCUUGAGCAACGCACUGAGGAGUUGUGCGAAGCCCACUAUGAAGUUGUGGACAAAGUGCAAAAGUUUACUUAAGAAAAUUCAGCGUUAAAAAACAAAAUUGCGGACAUAGAAGACGGGUUGCGGAGAGAGAACGUGAGAUUUAGGGGUAUCCCUGAAAAUAUCUUGCAAGAAGCGCUUCCUGCCUACAUCAAAGCCAUCUGCAAGGCCGUAGUCCUGGAGGCACCAGAUACUGCAUGGCAAUUUGACUGUCUGCACAGACUACCAAUACCGGCGAGAUUCACUGUGGACACCCUCAGGGAUGUGAUCGAGUAUUAUCACUAUCACUACAAGAACCUACUACUCACGGCAGCACAGAAUUCUGUGCAAUCACAAUAUCUCCUACAAAUGGGGAUAUCCCGCAAAGCUAUUGGUAUGGAAGGAAGGCAGAACACGUUAUGGCAGAUCCAGAUGACUGCUUUAACUGAAGGACUGGGGGGCUCUCAGCCACUUCAAGUGCCAAUCCACAGAAAGGUAUCUGCUAUGUUGUUAC